GUUGGGAUAGCUCAGUCUAUAGAGCAUGAGACUCUUAAUCUCAGGGCUGCGGGUUCAAGCCCCGUGUUGGGUG